CAGUUUCUCCAUCUGCAGAAUGGUACAUAAAUCUCUCCUUUUCCCUUGAAGUGAGGACGGACCAAGAAAAUGGAUUUGAAGAAUUGCUUUGGGAAAAGAGGUUUAAGGUGGUGCAUGCUGUUUUGUAACCUGGAAGCAGAUUGUCAACCACAGGUCACCCGGAGAGGCUCCUGAACACAGGCACACGACAGUGCUCUCUACUUCAUUACUACCUUCCCAGGACGGGUCACUCUGAGCCCUCUGGAGUUCAGACUAUUCAUCUGUAAGCUAAGGCUCAUCUAGCCCUACUGUGUGUCAGGGGCUAUCCUUGGACACAGCUGACAGAUGUCAGAGCUGGACUGGAGUGCGCCCGGGUGACACCAGGGUGUGUGCACAGAACUGUCACGUUACCUCCUGCUUCUCUGAAAUAAUCAACACUCUUUUUCCAUUCAUGUGAGAUAUGGAUGCAGGCUCCAGCGGAUGGCGUCCGGGACGCGCUACCCCCAAAUAUGGCACGGGGACAUAUUGAAUAUUUCAAGGAAUUAAAGGAAUUCAAAACAUGACAGGUGGACAAAGGGUUUUCCAACGUCCUGAAGCGGGUCAUAAAACUGCCACGUAUAAGUGCUCUCUGAACCUGCUGGAAAGAAGCACCCUUAUUUCUGAAGACCGAGGGAUACUGGGAAGAAGCUGAAUGAACAGACCUUGCUACAUUUCUCUCAGUUGAUGAUAUUUACCUCAUACUCUUUAUCCUAUCAUAUCUGUCUACCGCUUUCUACUCUUCAUCAAACCUAGCAGAAAGCCACUCAGGUUUAACUAUUUCUUUCUUC